GAUACUGCAACUGCGCCUCAACCGUGCUCCGCUUCGCAGCCCCGAAAAUUAUAGGUCUUCGGUUAUGUGCCACGAUGCCUCAAAUCCAUUUCCAUGAUUUUACGACGUCGCCUCGACCCUCCCGGCGGACCCGAAGCCUAAACGUCCAUUUCUUUAAUAACUUUGUAACGGCUCGUCGGAUUGCCGAACCGUCUUCGCCAACGCGUUUCGGUAUCUAGCAAUUAGGUUUACGAAGGGUCAAAUGAGAUCAAACCCUCAUAUUUUGAAAGUUUGCAUUUUGGAGCCCUAGGUUACAACUAUGCAAGAAAUCACUAAAUUGAUCCAUGAUUCAAGCAUUAAUCAUCUAGAUAGCAUGCUAGGACUCCUCUAAAUCCAUUUAUAAGGUGUUUAAACCAAGCAUUAAAGAUCUACCAUUAAUGGGCUCAAGAAGCUCACCUCAAAAUGAGCUCCAAACCAUGGAGAAGAUGAAGAAGACGAAGGCGAUCCACCUCCAAGCUUCAAUCUCCACCAAAUCUAUUCUUUUUGGGAGAGAUUUAGAGAGAGAAAGAGAGGGUUUUCUCUUCUCCUUCCAUGCAUGUGUGGGUGUGUGCGUGUGGUGUGUGCGGUUGGGGCAGCCACGGUUGGGAGGAGAAGAAGAAAAGGAGUUUUAAACCCUUUUUACCAUUUUGCCCCUCAACUACGCACUAUUCACUUCAGGCAGUUUACUUUUCGCCGGAGCCCUUCUGAACGUCCGUUUGAACUCAAAUUUGACAGGCAUGCUCGGUUUUACUUAAUAAGUCCAAAUAAAUUUUAAUAUUUCAGUUUCGACCCCGUUUGGUCACUGAAAACUGUGCCGAACUGCAAUCUUUAUCAGAUAGCUUUCGGAUCCUAUUUCUCUCUCUACGGGUGUCAGAAAAAUAUGAAACUUUAAAUCUAGCCUCAUAAAAAUAUUUCUGACAUUCUCGCAAAUUUUCAUAAUUUUCUGAGACUGUACAUUUUUUGCUAAUUUAUCAGUCCCGUUUCCAACAGAAAAUUCUAAAUCUUCUGUUUGCAGUCCAAUUUCAGCACAAGUCAUUUCUGACUUAUGUUUUACUCCUCUAAAUCUAAUAAAAAUAGUAUCUCACACUACUUUUAUUUAUUUUUAUUUUUAUAUUUAAAAUCCGGUAUGUUACAUUCCACCGCAACUUCACCGGAACCAUUUAAAUGUAUACCGUGACUUCAUGAUUUUAGAAGUUCGGUAUGUU
rnacentral:lncRNA from 1 species